rnacentral:rRNA from 1 species
CAAUUUAUACAACGAAGAGUUUGAUCCUGGCUCAGGAUGAACGCUAGCGACAGGCUUAACACAUGCAAGUCGAGGGGCAGCAGGGAGUAGCAAUACUUCGCUGGCGACCGGCGCACGGGUGAGUAACGCGUAUGCAACCUACCUAUCAGAGGGGAAUAACCCGGCGAAAGUCGGACUAAUACCGCAUAAAACAGGGGUCCCGCAUGGGGAUAUUUGUUAAAGAUUUAUCGCUGAUAGAUGGGCAUGCGUUCCAUUAGAUAGUUGGUGAGGUAACGGCUCACCAAGUCUACGAUGGAUAGGGGUUCUGAGAGGAAGGUCCCCCACACUGGUACUGAGACACGGACCAGACUCCUACGGGAGGCAGCAGUGAGGAAUAUUGGUCAAUGGGCG